GUGACUUUUGUCUCCGAGACCAGCUGGGUAUUCGGGUUUGGUGUACAUUAAUAUUGGACUUUAGGCUGCCAGGAUUGGGGACGAUCAGUAGUGGGGGCCAACCCAGUGGUGGUGGGUAUCCAGAGUUCACCUUUAUGGUAGUGUAGCGUCACUUGGGUGUACAGUGCAGUGUAGAUCACGUGUGGUCCUUUCAACCCACUCCGUAAGUACGGUCCUCCUGCUGGUAAGCCCUCUCGUGCCUUUCUUCUUUUAUUAUUUUGAUUUUCUAGUAUUGGUGUUUGUUCUGUAUGUUUGGUAUGUUGACGUGUUAUUCUGGUGGGCUUACCUCUAACCAUACCCGCAGUAGUGUGUAAAUAAGUGAGUAUAUGUGUGUGUGUUUGGGUGUAACCAUUUUAACAAAAGAUUUAAGAAUAUAUUGUGAAUACGCUUGAAAGUAAAUAAAUAUGUAUACGAUUAGAAAUAGAA